CACAGUUUCGAGAAAAAAAAAGAGACGAAAUUUCAGAUAUUUUUUAUUAUAGAAAACUGAUUGAAUCACUGGUCUGGAAAGACGUACCUGGCUGGGCUGCAAGAGAAAUAGCAGAACAAAUUCAAAUGUGGUCGUGGUGUGAAUUUUGGUGUCCUGUCGUUGACUCCCCAUGCUCUUCAGCUGUUUCUCAGAUUUCAGGUCUGAGCCAGCCAUCGUAACCACAAGAUGUGCAAGUUUUGAUAACUUGACUUUCAUCAUCAAAGAUCUAUGCAUCAUCAAUUGGAUAAACAGUUCCCAGUUUAAUUGGAAAAACUCUUUCCUCGUGUAACCCAAUGUGUUAAGGCGAGUGUAUAUUCAAACCCCCUUUUCCUAUCCUGCCUGGCGUCAACUUACUGAGGAUGGAGCAUUUGUGGAUGCCUGGCUGUGGAUUCCCCGGGCUC